AGAGUUUGAUCAUGGCUCAGGAUGAACGCUAGCUACAGGCUUAACACAUGCAAGUCGAGGGGAAACGACAUCGAAAGCUUGCUUUUGAUGGGCGUCGACCGGCGUACGGGUGAGUAACGCGUAUCCAACCUGCCCACCACUUGGGGAUAACCUUGCGAAAGUAAGACUAAUACCCAAUGAUAUCUCUAGAAGACAUCUGAAAGAGAUUAAAGAUUUAUCGGUGAUGGAUGGGGAUGCGUCUGAUUAGCUUGUUGGCGGGGUAACGGCCCACCAAGGCAACGAUCAGUAGGGGUUAAAACUGAGAGGAAGGUCCCCCACAUUGGAACUGAGACACGGUCCAAACUCCUACGGGAGGCAGCA
rnacentral:rRNA from 1 species